rnacentral:rRNA from 1 species
UGGGGAAUAUUGCACAAUGGGCGCAAGCCUGAUGCAGCCAUGCCGCGUGUGUGAAGAAGGCCUUCGGGUUGUAAAGCACUUUCAGCGAGGAGGAAGGUGGUGAGCUUAAUACGCUCAUCAAUUGACGUUACUCGCAGAAGAAGCACCGGCUAACUCCGUGCCAGCAGCCGCGGUAAUACGGAGGGUGCAAGCGUUAAUCGGAAUUACUGGGCGUAAAGCGCACGCAGGCGGUUUGUUAAGUCAGAUGUGAAAUCCCCGGGCUCAACCUGGGAACUGCAUUUGAAACUGGCAAGCUAGAGUCUCGUAGAGGGGGGUAGAAUUCCAGGUGUAGCGGUGAAAUGCGUAGAGAUCUGGAGGAAUACCGGUGGCGAAGGCGGCCCCCUGGACGAAGACUGACGCUCAGGUGCGAAAGCGUGGGGAGCAAAACAGGAUUAGAUACCCUGGUAGUCCACGCUGUAAAACGAUGUCGAUUUUGGAGGUUGUGCCCUUGAGGCGUGGGCUUCCGGAGCUAACGCGUUAAAUCGACCGCCUGGGGAGUACGGCCGCAAGGUUAAAACUUAAAUGAAUUG